rnacentral:lncRNA from 1 species
GUGUGUGUGUGUGUGCGUGUCUGUUUUUUUACUCCCCCACCGCUUGCCAACCGGUGCUGGUGUGUUUACGUACACGUAACUUAGCGGUUCGGGAAAGGAUACUGACAGAAUGAGUACCGGGCCUAAAAACGUAAGUCCUGGGAGCGAUUUGUUCGACUAAAUCCCUUCAAGGUGGUGCUCCAGUCUGGCUGCAAUCAAAUGACUGAAACAAGUAAAGGAUAAAAAGAUAUUUAUUGUGUCUUGUUAUGCGUGUAAUCACGAGGUUCAGGGAAAAAACUGACUUGCAUGAAAGAGGCCCAGAGUGCAAAAAAGUUUAGGGUACUGCUGAAUUGAUAAGCAACUUGCAGGUUAAAACAAUUGUACGAAUGAAAAGUAAUUAGAUGUACAGAACUGUCUUAAGUUUAUUGUUAUUAGAUGUUUACUUAUUUGUGCAGUAAAAUUGUAUAUGUGUAGUACAACUGAAGUGUAUUUCAACAUUGUUCCAACUGAAAAAAAAACAAAAAAAAAAACAUCAUACAAAAUCUAUAAUUAAAUAUUUUUUCUUUUUAGAAAAUAUUUAAUAACUUAAAAGAAAUGUUUUAAACGUUAUUUCUGCUCCCAUUAAGGCUAAACGGAACAUUAAAAUAUUAAACCAAAACGAUUUUACGUUUUAAUUUAUUUUUUUGUCUUGUUUUGAGAAUUAUUAUUAUCGUCAACGUCGCCAUCAUCAUCAUGAUUAUCAUCAUCAUGAUCGUCGUCAUCAUCGUCAUCGUCUCCUACAUCAUAAUCAGCAUCAUCUUCACCACCACCACCACUAACAUCACUAUCCUCCCUACUACCGUCACCCUGCUAUCGUCGUAAUCCUCAUUUUCAUCAUCAUCAUCAUCAUCACCACAACCACCACUACAACAACCACUGUCACCACUCUCAUCAUCACCACCAUCGUUAUCAUCAUCAAUAUCAUAUCAUCAUCAUCAUCACCAUCAUCAUCAUCAUCACCAACUGCCACCACCACUAUCACCAUCAUCAUCAUCAUCUCUACCAUCGCCGCCACCACCUCUAGUCAUCACCUACCACCACCACCACCACCACACUACUACCACUGCCACCACCCACCCCUACCCCUACCCCCACACCACAAUCAUUAUUAUAUAAUUAAUCUUAGAAACUGAACCAUUUGCUGUAAAUACUUUUGCUCGUAAACUAACGAUUUCGAUAGACAUAAAUUCUUUAAUGGACAAUUUACGGGGUUACAACAAUUGCACACGCGGGAAGUAUUGGAUGUAGAUAGCUGUUUAUGAUAUUUUACAGUUAAUACGUGCUACUGAAGUAGCAACAUUACACACACACGCACACACACACACACACAUACACACACACAUACACACAUGGACAUACACACACAUACACAUAAACGCACAGAUAGAUAGAUGGAUACAUGCAUACAUACAUAUACAUAUACAUACAUACAUACAUAUAUAUAUAUAUAUAUAUAUAUAUAUAUAUAUAUAUAUAUAUGCAUAUAUAUAUAUAUAUAUAUAUAUAUGCACAUGCGUGCGCACGCCCAUGUGUGUGUGUGUUGUAUGUGCGUGUGUAUGUGUGGAUGUGUGUGUGUGUUAUUGUCAUUUAAUUUAACAUUAUUCCUGUUAAAAUAUCAAUAAUAUUUUGGAAAAUAUUUAUCAAAUAAUUUCCGCAAUAUUUGUAUUUGGAGAGAGAGAGCAGAGUAUUAAAAUGUAUAAUUUUACGCUUUCUGUUUUCCGUAAUGGUAUUAAUAUUUAUGUAAUUAAUCUUAUCCUUAAAAACCAUUGCGUUUAAACGCUUCAUCAUAACAAGGAACUGCUUUAUUGAAGUUAGAUACAGCAAAUUAAAUACUUAAUAACUAUAUGUUAACAUUUUUCACAAAUUAUUUGGAAGACAGCUGUAUGAUUUGAAGCAAUAUUUAUGGGCUAUAACUUUCCAUUUGGCUGCCUAUACGGGUAGUAUUUAUCGGUUUCUAAAUUUAAGGUAGUAUCUAAGAAAUUAACUUUGUGGAAGUGUGUGUAAACAAUAAUGAUUUGAAGUAAGUCUAUAUAUAUCUCAAGAUUUUUUCCUGAAAAUUGCUAAAUUCUGAGCAUUCAUUGUGUGUCUGAGUAUCUAUAGUGUGCCUGUCAUCACAGUGUAAACCACACUGCAGUUCUCUUUAACAUAUUUUGUAUUAAUGUAAAAUAUUAGUACGUGCUAAACGUUAUAAUAAAGGUAACGAUGGCUGUGACCUUUGUAUAUCGGAAAAUAGGAAAAAAAUAUUUUUACAUAGGAUUUCUAUUUUAAACACCCAUUCAAAGCUAAUAUCAUUUUGUUGCCAUAAAGCGAAUUUUUUAUUGCUUAAUGGUUGAACACCGGACAAUUUUAUAUUAUGUACCUAGCAAGUCAAAGUGCCACAUACAGGCUCUAUCUUUGAUUUGCUUUUAGUUAUGUAUGUGUAUGUGUGUGUGUGUCGUGGGGGAUGUAGCCAUAUUACCACAUGAAAACAGUACAAGUUUGUUCAACGUGUAAUAUCCUGAUCGCAUGAAUAAGAAAUUCGUCUCGCAAUGAUACGGUCUUGGGUUCGACCCAACUACGUUAGAUCUUGGGCAAUUCUCUAUCGUUAUAGCCUCGUCUCGACCAAAGAAUUUUAAUUGAUGGGUAGUUGUAAACUGCUUGAAAGCCCCUCGGGUGGGUUGUACAAAUAAUUCAAAGGUCCAGUCUUGUCGGAUAUUAAGUUACUUCGAUUCUCUCAGCAUUUGCAUUAAGUGGUACAUUACAUGUGUCUAUGGUGUAUGCCCCUGAGCCAAAAUGAUGAUAAUAAUAACAAAAAUAGGCCCGAAAUGUCGGGGUAGGAGACUAGUCGGUUACAUUGACCUCAGUUUUUCACUGGUACUUAAUUUAUCGACCCCGAAAGGAUGAAAGGCAAAGUCGACCUCGGCGGAAUUUGAACUCAGAACACAAAGACAGACGAAAUACCUAUUUCUUUACUACCCACAAGGGGCUAAACACAGAGAGGACAAACAAGGACAGACAUAGGUAUUAAGUCGAAUUAUAUCGAGCCCCAGUGCGUAACUGGUACUUAUUUAAUCGACCCCGAAAGGAUGAAAGGCAAAGUCGACCUCGGCGGAAUUUGAACUCAGAACGUAGCAGCAGACGAAAUAACGCUAAGCAUUUCGCCCGGUGCACUAACGUUUCUGCCAGCUCGCCGCCUUUGAUAAUAAUAAUAAUAAUAAUAAUAAUAAUAAUAAUAAUAAUAAUAAUAAUAAUAAUAAUAAUAAUAAUAAUAAUAAUAAUAAUAAUAAUUAUAGUAAUCCUUUCAACUAUAGGCACAAGGCCUGAAAUUUCGUGGAAGGGGAAUAGUCAAUAAUAUCGACUCCAGUACUCAACUGAGACUUUUUUCAUCGACCUCGAAGGAUGAAAGGAGAAGUCUUUAUGGAAUUGGAACCGGGACUGCGACAUGACGAGACCAUAAUUUCCAGUGAAUCUUCUUUUGCAAUUUUUCUUGCUUUUGCCAUAUACACAGUAACACCGUUUUGUUCAAUGGUUAACUUUUUCACCAAUCCAGGAAAUAAGUUUUACAGUUAAGAAACUAUUUUUCUCUGUGAUUGUUUUAGGUAUUCCAGCGCAGUAAACUGACUGCUUAUAAUUUAGACUCGCACUAUGAUCUGGCAACGCCGGGUCAUAGUGCUAGUGCAUGCAUAUACAGCUGCGUGCGUGCGCACAUACAUGCCAGUACUGUCACAAGUCUCCGACCAAUCACAUACAGCUAGCCGGCAUUCAAUUGGCGUAUCAAGUUUCGGGCAUUUUGAUUGGGUUUUGGAUAGAAAAUUCACAAAAAAGUCACUUCUAUUGAUUCUUUUAAUGGCUUUGCGGGAUGACUGGGGAAAUGUAAAGAUAUGCACGACCACCCUUGGACGGUUUUGAAUGACCAUAGAAAGUAUGAGUCCUCUAACUGAAAAAUUGUGGAUUUGUAUAAAGGACACACACACACAGACAUUUUGCCGUUUAUAUAUAUAGAGAGAUGUUCCAAGGAAGAAAUUGACAGCAUUUUAGUUCACAGUAACUGAUAAUGCUCAAGCUGAACUCUUUCACCGGUGCCGUGAAUGCAGCAAUCAGGGAUAUAACUACAAAGCUAAAAUCUUGAACCAUCUUUCUCGAAGAACAUCCUGAAGCCAAACUGGAUUGCAGUCAACAAUCUUGACUAAAAUGUGUAAUCCAUUUUUAUAUAAUUUAUUCUAUUUAUUUAUUUUUUCUAUUUAUUGUUUAAUUAUUAUGUAUUGUUAUCAGAGACCUCCUAGCAUAUAUUUUAUAGCCAAAACUAGCUUCGUUUCAAACUUGUUGAAAUUGAUCCUUCUGGAAGCAAUUUUCUGGGCAAAUCUAGACCCACUUCACGAUAGCUGCAAGCUUUUCGUUCUUCUCUGAAGAACUAAGAAUUUCAGUCUUCUGUCAUAAGUACAAGUUGCCAGACAUUUUUUCUUUGGAGUAGAAUUACGUUUCUGGAUCUGUAGACUUAUUUCCUUAAGCUCAGCAGGGGAACUGAGAUUUUCUUUGUCAGCAGAAUGUGAAUUUCAGAGAAUAUAGAGUACUUGCUUCAAGAAGAACGGCAAUUUGGCUUUUAAUAAUUUUAUCAAUAUUCAAUUUCAUUUUCUUUGAAGAUUUAUCAAGCAGAAAAGAAAGAAAGAAAAAUGUACUUAAUUUAGUUAUUUAAAUUAAGAUCUAAGCUAUUUGCAUAAAAACUUAUACUUUAAACAUUAAAAGAAACUUCUUGUACACUUCCGCUUAAAACAAUCGUAAAAGUAAAAUCGUAAACGUAAACAAUCGUAAACAAUCGUAAACGUAAAAUCUUGACGUUCUAAAUUCUUCAUUUUUCAAUAUUUUUAUUGUAAAGAACAAUUCAGAACAACUAUGUUAUUCAUUCAUGUUCUAUAUAUAAUGCUAUAAUGUCUUGUACUUUAUCUGAAAUAUUGGACCUUACACGACCUUACACUUAAUAAAACACAUUUUCAUUCUUAAAAAAUACUGUUCGCUAUGUGUCGAAGAGGUAUUGAACUAAUUGGAGCAGAUAGCUUAUUUAAACUGCAAUAUACUUCACUUGCACAUACCAUAUACGUAUAUAUAUAUAUAUCAUCCAAAAACACAAAAACAACAGCUUGAAGCGUAAACAGGCUCCUUGAAAAACUCGACAAGGACAUUCUUCUAAAUAAACCAAACAAACAAGCCAUUCAACAAAACUGUUCUCAACCCCACUAGCGGCCCGAUACUGUCAGGAAAGCUAGCAUAUGUCCAGCCGCCACCACAUACAUAUACACAUAUGUAUGUACACACACACACACACACACAUAUAUAUAUAUAUAUAUAUAUAUAUAUAUAUAUAUAUAUAUAUAUAUAUAUAUAUUUCUUUUAUUUUUAUUUAUUUAUUUUAUUUUAUCUAGUUUCAGCUCACGAGCUGUGGCCAUGCUGGGGUACCGCCAUAUAUAUAAAAUAUUAGAAAAAAAAACACCUUUUAUCAAUUCAAAAUGAAUAAUUAAAUUACACCAUCUAGAAAAUUACAUAUAAUAGAAAAGUUAAAAUUCAAAUAACAAUAAAAAGUAAAGAUUAAGUAAGUUACAAAAAUAAUAUAAUGUAUAUAAUAGGUAGAAAAACAAAAUUUAAUUUAGUAUUUCUAAAUUGAAUUCUUUUUCCUUUUAAGUCUGGAUUUUAUUCCCUCAAAUAAUAAUUAUAUAUAUAUAUAUAUAUAUAUAUAAGAAUGUUGUUUAGUGUGACUUCGAAGAUUCGGUCAGAUAAAUCAUCAUCCUCUCAUCAGCCAGAAUCUUCCAAGUUUCAAUGCGUCUAAAAGUCAAGUAUUUAAAAGUCUGUUGUACUAUUUCUCUGACUACGCCUUUGAUAGAUAACACUGAAGUGUCUUUGUAACACCCCCUCACGUCUGAGAAAUGAACUAUUACUGACGCAACUGAAGGAGUAGUUUCAUGGACUUGACCGUAUUAGAAUUUAUCAAAACUUUACGAACGUACUCAAACAAUACAUUAUACAUAGUGUCUUUCUUUUUCAAGUCCUUCGACUUGAAAAGCGCCGAAACUACGCGAACUCGGGAGACAAUGGCUGAUGAUAGAGGAUUUCUUUGAUGAUUUAUCUAUCAGUUAUUUGUUUCCAUUUCUGCAUCGAUUUUCACUACUAGAUUCAUAGCGUAGCGCACCGAUUAUCUUACUAACAUACACCUAUAUAUAUAAAUGACAAUUUCUGUCUGUCUGUUACACCCUAGCUGCCGAAAGCAGCGAAUCAAUUUUCAACAAACUUUGUAUACAUGUUGAACUAACAUCCAGUUCAAUUAUAGGCUAAUUGGAUUUCAAUAAAAAUCAAUAAUGGACCGACUACGGGGAUGGGGCUAUUACAUGGUAAAAUGAGAGGGGUACAAAAGUGUUACGUUAAAGGAAAUGUGGUAUAAUGAGGGUGGCUGAUAUCAGGGAAGGGGAGGAGACAGGAAAAUAUAGACACACAGGGUAUGUGAGAGACAGACAGAGAGAACAACAGCCAGGGACAGAACGAGAGAGAAGAAAUUUUAACACUUUCUUUCAUUUCUUCCUAUCACUUAACGCAUAUCGUAUGCUCAGUCAAAACUUUUACAAUAUGUCCAAUAACAGAUGCUUAUCAAGUGAAAAGUAAAGUGUUUUUAUAUUUGUUUUCAAAUCACCGUAUUAAGAUUUAUCAAAACUUUACGAACGUACUCAAACAAUACAUUAUACAUAAUGUCUUUCUUUUUCUUCCAUAGAUGAAUAAUUCCUCGUGUUCCAUAUAUACAAAAGAGAGUUUGUGUAUGUGUGUGUGUGUGUGUGUGUGUACGUUAUUAUUAUUAUUAUUAUUAUUAUUAUUAUUAUUAUUAUUAUUAUUAUUAUUAUCAUUAUUAUUAUUAUUAUUAUUAUUAUUAAUGGUAAGGCUGGUGAACGGACAGAAUCUUUAGUUUGCCGGACAAAAUGCUUAGCAGUAUUUCUUCUGGCUUCACAUUCUGAGAUCAAAUUCCUCUGAGGUUGACCUUGCCGUUCAUCCUAUCGGGGUCGAUAUAAUAUGUACCUGCUGAACACUAAAGUCGAUGUAAUCACCUUACCUUGUGAAAGGUAGGAGAGCCCAGUUUGCUGGACAUUGUUGUAGAGCUGAAAAAGAGGUAAUUUCUACUCUCCUUCUCUGGAAGCCAUCUACUCGCAAUGCCAGAGGGCGCACACUCUCCUACCCUGGUGUAAUCUCCAGGGAUACAGGCAUCAAGCAACAGGACCUCCGUAAUGCCAUGAUGGACCGUGAAGUCUGGCGUAGCAUAGUAAAUUCCAUUGUCUCGACCACGGUCGAACAAUGAUGGUGAUGACCUUACUCUCUCUUCCGAACUUGCUGGCCUUGUGCCAAAAUUUGAAAUCAUUAUCAUUAUCUUUUGGCAGCACCGGUGACGGUGGUGGUAGUGGUGAUGGUGGUGGUGGUAGUGGUGGUGGUGGUAGUGGUAGUGGUGGUAGCGAGAUGGCGGUGCUAGAAUUAAUGGUGCCGGUGGCAGCGAUGUUAGUCGUCGUAGUGUUAUUGCUAGAGACUGAAAGGAGCCGACCUACUUUUAUUAUGGUAUUUAGGUAGCCAGUUCAAUUUUAAGUCUCAUGCCCUCCCAAGAUCCAUAAAACUUGGUGUCACUCGUAUUUACCGAAUGGGGGAGGGCGUCAGAGUAAGAAAUAAUACUCCCUAAGGGGGGUCGUUCCUAUGAGGCGCUUUUUGAUUCCGGGCUGACGAAAUUUCACUUAACUCACAUUGCAGGUAGCUUUAGGAGAUGUAUGAACAUCACAGCAUUCCAUACCUUUCUCUGUUCUUUCUUUCUUUCUUCUUUUCAUUCUUUCUAUCUUUCUAUCUUUCUAUCUUUUUGGGCUUUCUUUUUUUCUUUCCUUCUCUCUCACACUUUCUCUCAUAUAUGUAUGUGUGUAUGUGUGUGUGUGCGUAUGUGUACGUGUGUAUACAUACGAAUAUAUAUAUAUAUAUAUAAUAUAUAUAUAUAUAAAUUAGAGAUAAAACCGCUAUUAGGCAACUAAUUUUUCCCUGUAAGUUUGGAUAUACUGCCUAUUAUUAUUAUUAUUAUUAUUAUUAUUAUUAUUAUUAUUAUAAUUAUAUAUAUAUAUAUAUAUAUACACUCACAUAACUCUGACGAAAGUAGCAUUCACUAUUUAGGUCGAUCAAUUUUUCUCAACCGAUCAAUGGUCCGAUUGAGUAAACCUAUCGAUAAUGAACCUAUAAUAACAACCAGAAACAACUGUAAAACGUCAAAUUCACUGCAACAAAGAAAAAAUUGUAAUGUCCAUUAUUUUUACUUUGUCUUGUAUAUAUAUAUAUAUAUAUAUAUAUAUAUAUCACUCCGUGUAAAACCCAAUAUAACUAAUGCACAACUAAGGAUUAACAAUAUAGAAUGGUGAUUAAGUAUAAAUUCGGACCUGGCCACAAGAAUGCGCAGGGUUCUUUACUAAUCAAAGCAAUAUAUAUAUAUAUAUAUUUUUUUUACUACCCACAAGGGGCUAAAACAUAGAGAGGACAAACAAGGACAGACAAACGAUUUAAGUCGAUUACAUCGACCCCAGUGCGUAACUGGUGCUUAAUUUAUCGACCCCGAAAGGAUGAAAGGCAAAGUCGACCUCGGCGGAAUUUGAACUCAGAAUGUAACGGCAGACGAAAUACCGCUAAGCAUUUUGCGAACGUUUCUGCCUGCUAGCCGCCCGCGCACAUCUUUGCCUCUAUACAUUCAGUGAAGCUUUACCUAGCGCCGAACGAUUAUCGACUGCUAUUUCCAGCAAAAAUUAGUACCUUGUGCAACUAUUUCCUAUUUAUGAUUCUCCCUUUACGGUGCUUUAUUUCGCUGUAAAAAUAAUACUAUUGUACUGAAAAUAAUACUAUUGUAUUGUAGUAAUAUCUAUCUAUCUAUCUAUCUAUCGUUAUAUAUAUAUAUAUAUAAAUAUAUAUAUAUAUAUAUACACACGCAUAUAUAUAUUGGUAAAAACGGUAAGAUAACAAAAGAAAGAGAGCUCAAUAUUAUGUAAAUAGAGGAAAUUUAUCUGUAAAAUAAUAUGUGGCAAUCAUUCAAUAGCCAAGAUAAAACUCCGAGUUUCGGAUGCCAAGGUGGAAAUCCACAACACCAUCUCUUCGGUUAUCUGGCCAUAUAUGUGUGUGUGUGUGUGUGUGUGUGUGUGUGUGUGUGUGUGUGUGUGUGUGUGUGUGUGUGUGUGUGUGUGUGUGCGUGCGUGUGUGCGUGCGCACAUACAGAUAUGCAUAUAUGUGUGUGUAUUCAACUGUUCACUAUUCAAUUGGCACACUCUUAAAUGAAAUCAUACUAGCUUCAUGUAUGCCCUCUUUUCCCUAUAAGAGGAAAGUAUACUUGCUGUAGCAGAGGCAAAGUCAAUGACUCUGAAAUGUUAAACCUACAGAUAUAGGGACUUCAAAUGUUUAGCAGUAUUUCUUUUAAUUUCCUUGGGAAAGUUCAAAAGUAAAAGAACGAAACCUUCAUUACCUCUGAUGAAUGGCAUUCGCCGUUCCUCUAUUGUAUCGAUCCUGAUUGGAUGACAGGCAACGUUAGCUCCGGAGAAUUUUUUACGCUCUGAGUUCAAAUUCUGCCGGAGUUAUCUUUUUUCUUUCAUCAUUUUGAGGUCGAUGGUAUCGACUACUUCUCCCAUCAAAAUUACUGACCUAUAUCAGAAGCUAUUAUUCCGUACACUACAAAGGAAGAUUUAUCAAGACUGGGGUAAAUCAUAUCGAUUAAACCAUUCCUCCCGUAACUGCCGGCUUUGUUUCUAGAUUAGAAAUAAUUAUCAUUCGUGUGUGAGUGUGUGUAUGUAUAUAUUGGUGUGUGUAUGUGUGUGUAGGUAGAUAGAUAGAUGCAUAUUAUGUAUAUAAUGCAUACAUUUUACACACAUACACAAACACUCAUAGAUUUAUGUGUGUGUGUGAUGUAUGCAUAUAUGAUACACAUAUACUUAUAUAUGUGUGUGUGUGUGUGUGUGUGUGUGUGUGUGUGUGUAUGUAUGCAUAUAUGAUACACAUAUACUUAUAUAUAUAUGCGUGUGUGUGUAUGUGUAUACAUACAUAUAUAUAUAAGUAUAUAUGCAUCAUACAUACUUACAAACACACACGCAUAAAUUUAUGAGUGUGUGUGUAUGUGAGCAAAAUGCAUGCUUUAUAUACAUAAUAUGUAUCUAUCUACCUACACACAUGCACACACCAAUAUAUACAUACAUACACACACUCAGGAAUGAUAAUUGUUCAUAAAUAAAUAUAUAUAUAAAUAAAUAAAUAUAUAUAUAUAUAUAUAUAUAUAUAUAUAUAUAUAUAUAGGAGAUAAAUAAAAAUAUAUGCAUACAUACAAACAUAUAUGUACGUACCUACAUCUACAUGUAUAUAUACAUGCAUAUAUAAAUAAUUAUACGGGAGUACAGGACAUCACAAAAAGACGUAGAAACGGAAAAAGCCAAAAAACAAGAAAACGGAAAACGAAAAACAUGAAAACGAAAAACAAUUACAGGACGAGCUACACAAGGACAAAACCCCCGUCAUCAGCUGUCGCUAGAGGAGUCAGGCAUGUUUCGAAGGCAUAACAGAACACUAAUCCAAUAGGCCUUCCUGCGAGAGAAUUAAAAUAAAAUUCUAAGCAGCGGGGCAAAAUAAGUACGAACACAAACAAGACGUAACAAUAAGACUGCAAAAUUAAAAUACAUGUACAAAAACAAACACAAGAGGACGAAUGAAAAAGCCUUUUUUCUGGCAUAGACAAACGAUAAAACUGCAAAAAUAAAAAUACAUGUACAAAAAGUACAAUUAGUUACAAAACGAGAAAAUAACAAGAAUACUAUACAGGAAAUCAACCACACAAGGGGACGAACGAAGAAGCCUUUUGCUGGCAAGGACGAAAGUGUAGUAGCAGCGCGUGGAGGCAGUCUUUUCAAUAGUGAGAACCACGUGUUAUAUAUAUAUAUAUAUAUAUAUAUAUAUUAUAUAUUAUAUACACACACAUAUAUGUAUGAAUACAUACUUAUACAUAUAUUUAAAUAUAAUUAUGUAUACAUACAUAUUUACACACACACGCACACAUACAAACACACACACACAUAUGAUUAUGCGUAGAACAAUAUAUUAAUCAAUGAAGUUCCAACUUAGUCAGAUUUUCACGUUUUAUUAUUUGCAAUUUUUACAAUUUUACAGUAUUGAAAUAAACUAGUACUUUCAUGCGUUACUCAGUCAUCAGGUCUAUAUAGUGACAGUUGUUCCACAAUUGAUAACUAUAUAUAUAUAUAUAUAUAUAUAUAUAUAUAUAUAUAUAAAGUAUAAUUUUAGUGAAAACAUCGUAACAUGCGUAUAAGAGCGCUUAUAUCGUUAUUUGGUUAGCAGAUAACAGCCUAUAGUGGGGGUAUAUUCCAGCAUUAGAUACACAUAUGGGAAAAGUCUACAAUCCUCGCUAAUAAAUUGUUAUUGUUCUAAUCGUUGUUUUUCUUAUGCCUACCACGGACUACUCGAAGCUUACAAACUUCCUACACUUAGAUCCUUGCCUCUUACAAUUAUAUAUCGAUAUAUAUAUAUAUAUAUAUACGCACGAAAGAAAACCGGGAUCAAAACUCCAGGUGAAUACUCUUUAAGCACUCUGUCGGAUUCAAGCCUGGCUAACCCAACUGACCAGUGAAAGUUCUUGCAUUUCACGUAGUCCGUAAAAUUACUUUCUGUGCGGAAGAUUGAAAAUGUAAAAAUCUCCAUUCAUUUGUAACAAAUGUAUGGAGAUUUUUAAUCUUGGGUACGUUUCAGAUAGAUUGGUAUAUCAUAAUUCUGCAUACUAGUUGAACUAUAUUUGAUCAAUUCCUGUAGAAGCUUAUGAAUCGAUUUAUAUGCGAGAAUAAUAUAUCGCAGAGUUAUGUAAUACCAAUGUAUCCGAAACGCGCAUAAGAUUGAAAACGAAUAACUCUUCAUUAUUUUGUGUUUAUAUACAUGCGUGAUAGGCGAGUCCGGCACUCAGGCUGGCUUUGCUCGAGUAUAAAUUUAGUAAAGUGAACGUGUAUUUGCAAGCUGAUUUAAUUUCUGCCAACACUGACUUCAAAUAUAUAAUUGCAGCCAAUAACUCAGGCUCCUUUUAUUGGGCCUGGUCGCAGUUCAUUUAUUUUUUGUUCAGCAUCUGGCGGUCGUCUUAGAGGUGCCCUGUGUCAAAAAAUAUCAUUCGUAGCAGACGUUCUCUCGACAUCUUUCACACGCUCCUGUCUCGGGCUCAGAAGUUAGGAUGAAAGGCAAAGUCGACCUCGGCGAAAUUUGAACUCAGAACGUAACGGCAAACGAAAUACCUAUUUCUUUACUACCCACAAGGGGCUAAACAUAGAGGAGGCAAACAAGGACAGACAAACGGAUUAAGUCGAUUAUAUCGACCCCAGUGCGUAACUGGUACUUAAUUUAUCGACACCGUAAGGAUGAAAGGCAAAGUCGACCUCAGCGGAAUUUGAACUCAGAACGUAACGGCAGACGAAAUACUGCUAAGCAUUUCGCCC